AAACAUAUUUAAAAACUAGAAAUAAAAUAAAAUACGAGAAUAGACGCUAGGGUUUCACAACUUCACCACUUAGAAUCUCCUAGGGUUUUACUGCCUACCUCUCCCUCUCCCUCUCCACAGAUUUCGAUCAUAUACCAGAUAGAAAUGGAGAUCCCGUUCAGAUACACUGGUCGCUGGAGAUCCGAGAAUCCUGAGAAUUUGGGGAUAACAGUUUUUAUGAAGUCAAGAUGACCACCGAACGAUCCUUGGGGUUCAAUUCAUUAGUCUGCCGGACUGCCGGUGAGUCCAGGUGGUGGCGAAUAUUGCCGCUUGCUUUGUAGGAGACGUCUGUCUGUAGGGCCCGGCAUGCUUUUCACCAAAAAGGAAAGAGACCAUACGAAAGCAAUUUUUCUUAAACGGUGUUAUUUUCUACCAUUAAUUAUGAGAGAUUUAUUAUUUUAUUAAAAUUAUUAUUUAGUUAGUUAAAAAGUGCAAUGGUUACAUGUUUUCUAAAACUUAAUAUAAUAUCAAAUAUCCAAACUUGGUUUAUACACAAUAUUAGAAGUUGUGUAUCAUAGUAGUACUAUGAUACCAACUUAUUUAAUUAUUUACGACCUUUUGUAUUUUUGAUGUAUUGAAUAUUAAGUAUUGCAAUUUUAGUUUUUUUGUUUGGGCAUUC